rnacentral:rRNA from 1 species
UACGAAGGGGGCUAGCGUUGCUCGGAAUCACUGGGCGUAAAGGGCGCGUAGGCGGCCAUUCAAGUCGGAGGUGAAAGCCCAGGGCUCAACCCUGGAAUUGCCUUCGAUACUGUCUGGCUAGAGACCGGAAGAGGUAAGUGGAACUGCGAGUGUAGAGGUGAAAUUCGUAGAUAUUCGCAAGAACGCCAGUGGCGAAGGCGGCUUACUGGUCCGGUUCUGACGCUGAGGCGCGAAAGCGUGGGGAGCAAACAGG